AUUGAACGCUGGCGGCAUGCCUAACACAUGCAAGUCGAACGGCAGCACGGCAGUAGCAAUACUGUGGGUGGCGAGUGGCGGACGGGUGAGGAAUACGUCGGAAUCUGCCCAGUCGUGGGGGAUAACUAGCCGAAAGGUUAGCUAAUACCGCAUACGACCGAGAGGUGAAAGCGGGGGACCGCAAGGCCUCGCGCGAUUGGAUGAGCCGACGUCGGAUUAGCUAGUUGGAGGGGUAAAGGCCCACCAAGGCGACGAUCCGUAGCUGGUCUGAGAGGAUGAUCAGCCACACUGGAACUGAGACACGGUCCAGACUCCUACGGGAGGCAGCAGUGGGGAAUAUUGGACAAUGGGCGCAAGCCUGAUCCAGCAAUGCCGCGUGUGUGAAGAAGGCCUCGGUUGUAAGCACUUUAUCUAGACGAAAGACGUU
rnacentral:rRNA from 1 species